ensembl:misc_RNA 7SK 7SK RNA
CGAUGUGAGGGCCAUCUGCCUGUGACACCCGUCACCACACUGAUCUCCAGCCUUGAGUCAGCUGAUCUGGCUGGCUAUGCCCAUGUCCCCUUCCUCACCCAGUGCUCCAUAUGCUCCAUAUCCCUCCCAAAGCUACUGGGGCACAGAGGGCAACCUCCCCAAUACAGACAGUACAUUUUAUCACUCAAGGCUAUUUAGGCAGCUGCGCUCCCUGCUACAACCUCCCAACCAGCCCAAGGUACUAAGGCUGCAUUUCUAAGAGAGCAUAAAUAAAAUUUUGCCCAAAAGAAAAUUGAAAUAGGCUACAAAAACUGGGAGGCAUUC